GCCGCAGGCAACGGCCCGAAGGGCGAGGCGCUUUAGCGCCGAGUAAUCCUUCCCCCACCACUG
rnacentral:sRNA from 1 species